rnacentral:rRNA from 1 species
AUUUAUUGCCGUAGGAUGGGACUGCGGCCUAUCAGUUUGUUGGUGAGGUAAUGGCCCACCAAGACUAUUACAGGUACGGGCUCUGAGAGGAGUAGCCCGGAGAUGGGUACUGAGACACGGACCCAGGCCCUAUGGGGCGCAGCAGGCGAGAAAACUUUGCAAUGUGCGAAAGCACGACAAGGUUAAUCCGAGUGGUUUCUGCUAAAGGAACCUUUUGUUAGUCAUAGAACCACUAAUGAAUAAGGGGUGGGCAAGUUCUGGUGUCAGCCGCCGCGGUAAAACCAGCACCUCAAGUGGUCAGGAUGAUUAUUGGGCCUAAAGCAUCCGUAGCCGGCUUUGUUAGUUUUCGGUUAAAUCCAUACGCUCAACGUAUGGGCUGCCGGGAAUACUGCAAGGCUAGAGAGUGGGAGAGGUAGACGGUACUCGGUAGGAAGGGGUAAAAUCCUUUGAUCUAUUGAUGACCACCUGUGGCGAAGGCGGUCUACCAGAACACGUCCGACGGUGAGGGAUGAAAGCUGGGGGAGCAAACCGGAUUAGAUACCCGGGUAGUCCCAGCUGUAAACUAUGCAAACUCGGUGAUGCAUUGGCUUGACGCCAAUGCAGUGCCGCAGGGAAGCCGUUAAGUUUGCCGCCUGGGAAGUACGUACGCAAGUAUGAAACUUAA